rnacentral:rRNA from 1 species
UACGAAGGGGGCUAGCGUUGCUCGGAAUCACUGGGCGUAAAGCGCACGUAGGCGGCUUUUUAAGUCAGGGGUGAAAUCCUGGAGCUCAACUCCAGAACUGCCUUUGAUACUGAGAAGCUCGAGUCCGGGAGAGGUGAGUGGAACUGCGAGUGUAGAGGUGAAAUUCGUAGAUAUUCGCAAGAACACCAGUGGCGAAGGCGGCUCACUGGCCCGGAACUGACGCUGAGGCGCGAAAGCGUGGGGAGCGAACAGG